rnacentral:rRNA from 1 species
GAACCGUCCAAACGUUAUUCGGGAAUCACUGGGGCUUAAAGGGUGCGUAGGCGGCUUGGCAAGUUGGGUGUGAAAUCCCUCGGGCUCAACCGAGGGAAUUGCGCCCAAAACUGCCUGGCUAGAGGGAGAUAGAGGUGAGCGGAACUUAUGGUGGAGCGGUGAAAUGCGUUGAUAUCAUAAGGAACACCUGUGGCGAAAGCGGCUCACUGGAUCUUUUCUGACGCUGAGGCACGAAAGCUAGGGUAGCGAACGGGAUUAGAUACCCCGGUAGUCCUAGCUGUAAACGAUGAGCACUGGGUUGGAGAGUCCUCCAUAGCUUUCCGGCCGAAGCGAAAGUGUUAAGUGCUCCGCCUGGGGAGUAUGGUCGCAAGGCUG